rnacentral:snRNA from 1 species
AAGGCUCGCUUCGGCGGGUCG